rnacentral:rRNA from 1 species
UACAGAGGGUGCGAGCGUUAAUCGGAAUUACUGGGCGUAAAGGGUGCGUAGGUGGUUUAGUAAGUUAGAUGUGAAAUUCCUGGGCUUAACCUGGGGACUGCGUCUGAUACUGCGAAGCUAGAGUACUGUAGAGGGAAGUGGAAUUUCCGGUGUAGCAGUGAAAUGCGUAGAUAUCGGAAGGAACAUCAGUGGCGAAGGCGACUUUCUGGACAGAUACUGACACUGAGGCACGAAAGCGUGGGGAGCAAACAGG